rnacentral:rRNA from 1 species
AUGAUGAACCCGGAGAUGAUGCGGGUGGCGGAGGAGCAGAUGCGACGCAUACCCGCCGACGACCUCGCCAGGAUGCAGCGGCAGCUCAUGUCCAACCCGGACCUGCUAAAGCUCGCAACCGAGAGCAUGAAGAACAUGACGGCCGAGGACUUCAAGCUCGCCGCCGAGCGCCUGAACCACGCAAGGCCAGAGGAGAUGCUCGACAUGACCGAGAAAAUCGCCAAGGCCAAGCCCGAGGAGCUCGCCGCCAUGAAGGUGCAGGCCGACGCUGAGACUUCAUGCGCGAUAUCCGCCGCCGAGAUGCUGAAGCGGCAGGGGAACCAGUUCCAUGGCCGUGGGCAGUACGCCGACGCCGCCGCCAAGUACAAGCUCGCCAGGGACAGCGUGAAGAACAGCGUGCCGUCGGCGGCCGGGCGCGCCCUGCAGCUGCAGUGCAGCGUCAAUCUGAUGGCCUGUUACCUGAAGCUAGGCGAGUUUGAGGAGUGCGUCAACGAAGGCUCGGAGGUUCUAAGCUAUGACUCGGGCACUGCCAAGGCGUACUACCGAAGGGGUCAAGCGUACAAAGAGCUAGGAAACCUUCAGGCUGCUGUUGCUGACCUGAGUAAAGCCCGUGAAAUGACUCCCGAAGAUGAAACUGUCGCUCAAGCUCUGACAGAGGCGCAAGAAAAACUUGCGACCGAAGGGGGAGCAGCAAACCUGCCGAAGGGAGUUGUCAUUGAAGAAAUUGUAGAAGAAGAUAUUAGUUCGGAUCUGUCGAGUGCUCAAACGAAUUCUUCUUCUUCUACUGCUACUGAGCAUACUGUUUCACAGCCACACAACGGAGCACGAAACUCGACACAAUCUAACUCUUCAGAAAGCUUGGUAAAUACGUCUCAGGUUGCUUCUUCAGCAAGCGGAACAAACCUUGUUGCUCCAGAUUUUGGAUCCAAUAUGCCUGGGAUGGUUGGUAUGGCGGACCCUGCUAUGUGGGAGAUGUUUACCUCCAUGGUGGAGAACAUGAGCCCUGAUGAGAUGGCAAACAUGAGUGGGCUGCUCGGUAUCGAGAUGUCCAAGGAAGAUGCUGCCAACGCUCAACAGGCUAUGUCUUCAUUCUCUCCACAAGAUUUAGAGAAAAUGAUGAAAUGGAUCGACAGAGCACAGCGAGGAGUCGAAGCGGCAAGGAAGACGAAGGACUGGCUCCUAGGCAGGAAAGGCUUCAUCUUCGCUAUCAUCAUGCUGAUCUUGGCGUUCAUCCUCCAUCGUCUUGGAUUCAUGGGGUAG